rnacentral:rRNA from 1 species
GCAUAACGCGAAGAACCUUACCCACCUUUGACAUGUACGGAAUCCUUUAGAGAUAGAGGAGUGCUCGAAAGAGAGCCGUAACACAGGUGCUGCAUGGCUGUCGUCAGCUCGUGUCGUGAGAUGUUGGGUUAAGUCCCGCAACGAGCGCAACCCUUGCCAUUAGUUGCUACGAAAGGGCACUCUAAUGGGACUGCCGGUGACAAACCGGAGGAAGGUGGGGAUGACGUCGAGUCCUCAUGGCCCUUAUAGGUGGGGCUACACACGUCAUACAAUGGCUGGUACAAAGGGUUGCCAACCCGCGAGGGGGAGCUAAUCCCAUAAAGCCAGUCGUAGUCCGGAUCGCAGUCUGCAACUCGACUGCGUGAAGUCGGAAUCGCUAGUAAUCGUGGAUCAGAAUGUCACGGUGAAUACGUUCCCGGGUCUUGUACACACCG